UACUGACUUCCCAUAUUUCACAAAUGACCAGGAAACCAGCCAGGAGGAAGGAAGCGCCCUGUGAUAGAGAGCAGCACAAGACUCUUUGGCAAUGGAUCUAACAGCAAAUGGACAUACCAUCAAGCUUUGAAUCAUGUUAAGAGAAAACAUGAGCUUGUUUUGUGGGAUUGAAAUACAGCCAGAGUAGAAGAAUAAGCAAAGGGUAAAAGUAACAGAACUACAGAAUAAAGAGAGUGAAGGCUGUCGGUGCACAUGUGAGCACAGAUGAUGUUCUAGCAGCUCCUUGCCUCCUUCCCCCACCUGCUUGAUGUCUUCCAGUGGACGCUUAUGUGAAUAGCCAUGCCUCUCAUUUUACAACUCAUUGGCAAGUAUAUUUCCUCUUAGAUAUUUUCUAAGAAAUUCCAUGUACUUAUCAAUAUCCCCCUAUUCUCCUCUUCAUCUUUGUUUCCUUCCAUCAGGCAAUGUGAACACAACCCAACAGAACUAAUCAAUUAAAUUUUUUGAGAAAGGAGAAGAAGGAGGAGAGAAGAAGAAGAAGAAGAAGAAGAAGAAGAAGAAGAAGAGAAGAAGGAGGAGGAGGAGGAGGAGGAGGAGGAGGAGGAGGAGGAGGAGAAGGAGAAAGACAAGAGAGAGAAAGAAGGAAAGAAAGUUAUUGCCUUACUGAUAUCAAGUAAUAAGUGAAAGAUUAAAAGAUUGAUUUUCAUUUUUUUUUUUUUUUGGUUUUUAAUGUUUUGAUGAUUUUACAAAGAGCUGUGACAACCUACACCCUUACCUGAAGGGAAUAUUUAUAGGCUAUCUCUUAAUUUUCGAAUCACCAUAAAGAUUACUUUAGGGGAAUUGCCUAAUUUUCAUGAUCUCCAUGAUAAUUUUUGCAUCCCUACACAGGAAGACUGGGCUAUGUUUUGCUGUUGACACACAGCCUAUUACGUAUUCCAGGCUUGGUGGAAUUGUCUGGGAUCUUGGAAGUCCUGAUAAUUCCUUGAUUUGGAAAGCAUUAAAUACACUUAACUGAAAUGGUAGCCCUGUUUAAAAUUGUAGAGGACAGCUGCAAAUGCAUCAGGUCUGAAGCCAGGUGACUAACACCACAGGCUUUUAUCUCUUUAUUCAUGAUCAUUAUUGGCUAUGACCUCUGUGACUGCUGAAUGGCUCCAAACUUCCCUCACCCAGUGCCCGGCGACCCCUUAUAUGGACCACAGUCAGCCAAACACUCCAAUUAAGGUGAUGUGAACUUGAGUAAGCUAAUAACAUUUUUUUAUCCCCCGGUAUUGUGAUCUUAAGACUUUUCUCUACAGUGGGAGAGGAUACCUUAAUUUUCACAGAGAGUUCAAUUGGCCAUAAUUAAUAACGUAUGUCAUUUAGAACUACACUUACCUGCAGAAAAUAGACUGCAUUCAAUUUAUUUAAGGGAAAUUUUAAGAUCCCAUUUUUUUUCUCAUUUUAAGCUU